AACGAACGCUGGCGGCAUGCCUAACACAUGCAAGUCGAACGGGAUCCGGCCUUCGGGCCGGUGAGAGUGGCGGACGGGUGAGUAACGCGUGGGAACCUGCCCAUUGGUCUGGGAUAACUGCGGGAAACUGCAGCUAAUACCGGAUGUACCCGCGAGGGGAAAGAUUUAUCGCCGAUGGAGGGGCCCGCGUCAGAUUAGGUAGUUGGUGAGGUAACGGCUCACCAAGCCUACGAUCUGUAGCUGGUCUGAGAGGAUGAUCAGCCACACUGGGACUGAGAUACGGCCCAGACUCCUACGGGAGGCAGCAGUGGGGAAUAUUGGACAAUGGGGGCAACCCUGAUCCAGCAAUGCCGCGUGAGUGAUGAAGGCCUUAGGGUUGUAAAGCUCUUUUGCCAGGGACGAUGAUGACGGUACCUGGAGAAUAAGCCCCGGCUAACUUCGUG
rnacentral:rRNA from 1 species